rnacentral:rRNA from 1 species
GGGACGGCGGGCGUGCUAUACUGGCAGUCGAGCGGAUCGAUGGGAGCUUGCUCCCUGAGAUCAGCGGCGGACGGGUGAGUAACACGUGGGUAACCUGCCUGUAAGACUGGGAUAACUCCGGGAAACCGGGGCUAAUACCGGAUAAUUCAGUUCCUCGCAUGAGGAACUGUUGAAAGGUGGCUUUUCGCUACCACUUACAGAUGGACCCGCGGCGCAUUAGCUAGUUGGUGAGGUAACGGCUCACCAAGGCAACGAUGCGUAGCCGACCUGAGAGGGUGAUCGGCCACACUGGGACUGAGACACGGCCCAGACUCCUACGGGAGGCAGCAGUAGGGAAUCUUCCGCAAUGGACGAAAGUCUGACGGAGCAACGCCGCGUGAGUGAAGAAGGUUUUCGGAUCGUAAAACUCUGUUGUUAGGGAAGAACAAGUGCCGUUCGAAUAGGGCGGCACCUUGACGGUACCUAACCAGAAAGCCACGGCUAACUACGUGCCAGCAGCCGCGGUAAUACGUAGGUGGCAAGCGUUGUCCGGAAUUAUUGGGCGUAAAGCGCGCGCAGGUGGUUUCUUAAGUCUGAUGUGAAAGCCCACGGCUCAACCGUGGAGGGUCAUUGGAAACUGGGGAACUUGAGUGCAGAAGAGGAAAGUGGAAUUCCAAGUGUAGCGGUGAAAUGCGUAGAUAUUUGGAGGAACACCAGUGGCGAAGGCGACUUUCUGGUCUGUAACUGACACUGAGGCCGAAAACUGGG